rnacentral:rRNA from 1 species
GACAGAGGUGCCAAGCGUUAGGCGGAAUCACUGGGCUUAAAGCGUGUGUAGGUGGAUGCCUAAGUGCCUUGUGAAAUCCCACGGCUCAACCGUGGAAUUGCUCGGCAUACUGGGUGUCUUGAGCCACUUAGGGGUCGCUGGAACAAACGGUGGAGCGGUGAAAUGCGUAGAUAUGCGGAGGAACACCGAUGGCGAAGGCAAUCCCCUGGGCCUGCACUGACGCUCAUGCACGAAAGCGUGGGGAGCAAACAGG